AGCUCUUUACAUUUGAAGUGCUUUGCCAAGAGGAUCAUUUCCCACAAACUGAACAAGGACCCCAGACACCUUCCGUUCUUCUAGUAGUGAAUCUUCUCCAAAUGGACUUCUCAAUCAACCCAAAGUUUCAUCCCCUUCAACAAACAGAGUUCAUGGGAUUUAUCAUUUCACUGGCAGUGUAGUUUUCCCUUAUCUUAAAAUUUCAGCCCAUAUUUAAAUGAUAUUUAAGCUAGGAGCAAUAUGGAAGUUUCCGUAAAAUAAAACAAAGGUCUCCAACUCAUUUGAUCUGAAUUUCUGUCAGAAAUGCAGUUUUCAUUAUGACUCUUUAUACAAAUUUUUAUGUAUUUAUAGGUGUACAUAGGUAUAUAAAAAUAUAUGUAAUAAAAAUAAAACAGUACAGAGUCCUAUUCUA